rnacentral:rRNA from 1 species
UACGGGGGGGGCAAGCGUUGUUCGGAAUUACUGGGCGUAAAGGGCUCGUAGGUGGCCAACUAAGUCAGACGUGAAAUCCCUCGGCUUAACCGAGGAACUGCCAUCCAGACUGCUUUGCUUGAGGCCGGGAGAGGUAAGUGGAAUUCCCAGUGUAGCGGUGAAAUGCGUAGAUAUUGGGAGGAACACCAGUGGCGAAGGCGGCUUACUGGACCGGUUCUGACGCUGAGGCGCGAAAGCGUGGGGAGCAAACGGG